rnacentral:rRNA from 1 species
CUACUGGACGUAAGAUGCCACUGACGAUUCGCUCGUGUUAAUUUCUAAUAAAAUGACCGAGUGAGCAGUCUCCGGGAAACCAAAGUUAUUAGGUUCCGGGGGAAGUAUGGUUGCAAAGCUGAAACUUAAAGGAAUUGACGGAAGGGCACCACCAGGAGUGGAGCCUGCGGCUUAAUUUGACUCAACACGGGAAAACUCACCCGGCCCGGACACUGUAAAGAUUGACGUAUUAAGAGCUACUUCUCGAUUCAGUGGGUGGUGGUGCAUGGCCGUUCUUAGUUGGUGGAGUGAUCUGUCUGGUUGAUUCCGAUAACGAACGAGACUCUAGCCUGCUAAAUAGGCGACCGAUUGACGGCUCGUAUUGGAGAGCAGGUUGGCUUCGGCUGGCUUGUGAUCUGGUGCGAGCAUCGUCGGUCGAAGUUGCUUAGGUAACGAAACUUCUUAGAGGGACUGGCGGCGUCUAGCCGCACGAAAUUGACCGAUAACAGGUCUGUGAUGCCCUUAGAUGUCCGGGGCCGCACGCGCGCAACACUGAAUGAGUCUACUUGCGUUCAACCCUGUCCUAAAGGACCGGGCAACCCGUUGAAUCUCGUUCGUGAUAUGGAUUGGGGCUUGUAAUUCUUCUCCAUGAACGAGGAAUUCCCAGUAGGUGCGAGUCAUUAACUCGCGCCGACUACGUCCCUGCCCUUUGUACACACCGCCCGUCGCUACUGCCGAUCGAAUGGUUUAGCAGGGUCAUCUGACUGUCGCGAUACUCGUUCGGCUUCUGCCGAUGAUUUCGUGCUGGAAAGAUCUCCAACCUAACUAUUUUACAUGUAGUAAUAGUUCAUACUAAGUUGCCGCUAGUGAAGCUGCGUACGAU